rnacentral:rRNA from 1 species
GACGAACGCUGGCGGCGUGCCUAAUACAUGCAAGUAGAACGCAGUUGCGAACGGGUGAGUAACGCGUAGGUAACUGCCUCAUAGCGGGGGAUAACUCUUGGAAACGAUAGCUAAUACCGCAUACUGUGCGCUGGAUCUGCGUUGUUUUAGCUUGUUGGUGAGGUAAAGGCUCACCAAGGCGACGAUCCAUAGCCGAACUGUGAGGGUGAUCGGCCACACGGGGACUGAGACACGGCCCAGACUCCGACGGGAGGCAGCAGUAGGGAAUCGUCGGCAAUGGACGGAAGUCUGACAGAGCAACGCCGCGUGAGUGAAGAAGGUUUUCGGAUCGUAAAGCUCUGUUGUUAGAGAAGCGGUAACGAACCAGAAGGGGACGGCUAACUACGUGCCUGAGCCGCGGUAAUUC